UAACGGCAUGUACUGUCUGGCUGGGUCUUACCUCUUGGUGAGCCGGUGUGCCCUUUAUUGGUGUGCAUUGGGGAACCAGGACUUUUACCUUGAGAAAAUUAGAGUGUUCAAAGCAGGCUUAUGCCCGAAUACAUUAGCAUGGAAUAAUAAAAUAGGACGUGUGGUUCUAUUUUGUUGGUUUCUAGAGUCGCCGUAAUGAUUAAUAGGGAUAGUUGGGGGCAUUGGUAUUGAGUCGCUAGAGGUGAAAUUCUUGGAUUGACUCAAGACCAACUAUUGCGAAAGCAUUUGCCAAGGAUGUUUUCAUUAAUCAAGAACGAAGGUUAGGGGAUCGAAAACGAUC
rnacentral:rRNA from 1 species